CCUACGGGAGGCAGCAGUAGGGAAUAUUGCUCAAUGGGGGAAACCCUGAAGCAGCAACGCCGCGUGGAGGAUGAAGGUUUUCGGAUUGUAAACUCCUUUUGUUAGAGAAGAUAAUGACGGUAUCUAACGAAUAAGCACCGGCUAACUCCGUGCCAGCAGCCGCGGUAAUACGGAGGGUGCAAGCGUUACUCGGAAUCACUGGGCGUAAAGAGCGCGUAGGCGGGAUAGCAAGUCAGAUGUGAAAUCCUAUGGCUUAACCAUAGAACUGCAUUUGAAACUGUUAUUCUAGAGUAUGGGAGAGGUAGGUGGAAUUCUAGGUGUAGGGGUAAAAUGCGUAGAGAUCAAGAGGAAUACUCAUUGCGAAGGCGACCUGCUAGAACAUAACUGACGCUGAUGCGCGAAAGCGUGGGGAGCAAACAGGAUUAGAUACCCCGGUAGUC
rnacentral:rRNA from 1 species